UACGGAGGGUGCAAGCGUUAUCCGGAUUCACUGGGUUUAAAGGGUGCGUAGGUGGGCAGGUAAGUCAGUGGUGAAAUCCCCAAGCUUAACUUGGGAACUGCCAUUGAUACUAUUUGUCUUGAAUACCGUGGAGGUGAGCGGAAUAUGUCAUGUAGCGGUGAAAUGCUUAGAUAUGACAUAGAACACCAAUUGCGAAGGCAGCUUGCUACGCGGAUAUUGACACUGAUGCACGAAAGCGUGGGGAUCAAACAGG
rnacentral:rRNA from 1 species